rnacentral:rRNA from 1 species
AGUGAACGCUGGCGGUAGGCCUAACACAUGCAAGUCGAACGGCAGCACAGUAAGAGCUUGCUCUUACGGGUGGCGAGUGGCGGACGGGUGAGGGAUACAUCGGAAUCUACUUUUUCGUGGGGGAUAACGUAGGGAAACUUACGCUAAUACCGCAUACGACCUACGGGUGAAAGCAGGGGAUCUUCGGACCUUGCGCGAUUGAAUGAGCCGAUGUCGGAUUAGCUAGUUGACGGGGUAAAGGCCCACCAAGGCGACGAUCCGUAGCUGGUCUGAGAGGAUGAUCAGCCACACUGGAACUGAGACACGGUCCAGACUCCUACGGGAGGCAGCAGUGGGGAAUAUUGGACAAUGGGCGCAAGCCUGAUCCAGCCAUACCGCGUGGGUGAAGAAGGCCUUCGGGUUGUAAAGCCCUUUUGUUGGGAAAGAAAAGCAGCAGGUUAAUACCCCGCUGUUCUGACGGUACCCAAAGAAUAAGCACCGGCUAACUUCGUG